UACGAGAGGCCCAAACGUUAUUCGGAAUUACUGGGCUUAAAGAGUUCGUAGGCGGCAUUGCAAGUAGGGUGUGAAGGCCCUCGGCUCAACCGAGGAAUUGCGCUCUAAACUGCAGUGCUCGAGGAAGCUAGAGGUGAGCAGAACAGAUGGUGGAGCGGUGAAAUGCGUUGAUAUCAUCUGGAAUACCGGAGGCGAAGGCGGCUCACUGGGCUUUCUGACGCUGAGGUAACGGAAAGCCAGGGUAGCG
rnacentral:rRNA from 1 species